UCGAACGCGAAAGGGGCUUCGGCCCUGAGUAGAGUGGCGAACGGGUGAGUAACACGUGGGUGAUCUACCUUCGAGUGGGGGAUAACGUCCCGAAAGGGACGCUAAUACCGCAUGACGUUCCGGGUUUAAAGACCUGGAAACCAAAGCCGGGGACCGCAAGGCCUGGCGCUGGAAGAGGAGCCCGCGUCCGAUUAGCUAGUUGGCGGGGUAAUGGCCCACCAAGGCGACGAUCGGUAGCCGGCCUGAGAGGGCGGACGGCCACACUGGAACUGAGACACGGUCCAGACUCCUACGGGAGGCAGCAGUGGGGAAUUGUUCACAAUGGGCGCAAGCCUGAUGACGCAACGCCGCGUGGGGGAUGAAGGUCUUCGGAUUGUAAACCCCUGUCGAACGGGACGAAAGACCCGGGAGCUAAUCAUCCCGGGAGUGACGGUACCGUUAAAGGAAGCCACGGCUAACUCUGUGCCAGCAGCCGCGGUAAUACAGAGGUGGCAAGCGUUG
rnacentral:rRNA from 1 species